UACGGAGGGUGCAAGCGUUAAUCGGAAUUACUGGGCGUAAAGCGUGCGUAGGCGGUUCGUUAAGUCUGUUGUGAAAGCCCCGGGCUCAACCUGGGAAUGGCAAUGGAUACUGGCGAGCUAGAGUGUGUCAGAGGAUGGUGGAAUUCCCGGUGUAGCGGUGAAAUGCGUAGAGAUCGGGAGGAACAUCAGUGGCGAAGGCGGCCUGCUGGGCUGUUGCUGACGCUGAGGCGCGACAGCGUGGGGAGCAAACAGG
rnacentral:rRNA from 1 species